AUGGCAGUGGUGUUAUGCUCUAAUGGCUUCGGGAUCCGAUGAUGCUCUUAAGAGUGUUGGUUUAGUCUUAGCAGGACUUACCAACUGAAUCUGGAACUGUGAUCCCCUAUGUUCACUUGAUGAAACAAGCUCACAAGAUUUUGAGGACAGUUAUAUAGUCUUGU